UAACUUGUUAUGUCAUAAUAACUUUGGUGGGAAAAUGAUAAUUUUUCAAAAAAAAAAACGCAAAUUAAAGAAAUCUCUAAUGGAUAUACAAAAAAUACAAAGAAAAUCUUAGAACUAUUAUUCAAAUACAAUGGCCGGGAAGUUGCUUUGUAAUGAAGAACAUCAUUAUACUACAACAACCAAAAUACUAAUGAAUAAAUAUGUAGUGGUGGUAGAGGGUUUUGUGAACGGUGGGAAUGGGAGGAUUGUGUGGCUGCAAUUUUGGGGUAAAUCCUUGCACUUGAGCACCUACCACAAUCCAUAGUCCCGGUGUUGACGUGCUGUCGUUGGUCCAGAUCAUGGCCGCAACUGCUGUGGCUCCUGAAGAAGAUGAAAUAAGGAGAAAAUAAAGAGAAAUCAUAAAUGAGUGGGACUAUUGGCACCCCUCUAAAUACCUCUUAACGGCUCUUUUCUUUAUUAACCCUAUUAAAAUAUUUUAAAAUAUUAAAAAAUUCUUUUAACACCUCCUUUAAUGACAAAAAUACCCUUAAUUAAGAUCUAUUAGUAUAAAUCCCAUUCUUUAAUUCUUAUUUAUUUUUUUCCUACACCAAUAUUCUCGGACUUGCUAAGGAACACACUUUCGUAUUUAAACUAGCACCACUUCAUUGCAUCUUCCUUUAUGACGUAGUCCAGAACAGUUGGUUCUCUAAGUCAUUUUAUUUAUUUUUUAAAAUUAAUUGUUACAUUCUUAUUUAGUUCAUAAUUUUAUUGAUCCCUUGGUUGUGGAUUUUUGAGACAAUUAAUCAUCCAUUAAAAAGUAGUGAGAGAGAGGGAGAGAGAAGGAAAAGAAACUAUUUUUCCACGAAACUUCUUCUUUGAUGUGGAAAAUCAUUGGCACACUACAUGACAAACACUUUGCUCCAAUGCAUGACAAAUCAUUCUAAUUGACGAUGACGCUUAGCAAACACUUGGCUACCAUGCAUGCAAUUCUAAGGCCAAAUGUUAUUUGGUUUAUCGACGGAUAUCUGAAACUUAAUUUCUCUCAUGGGGUUUGAAAGUUUCUUCUCUAAAGCCAUUUGGGUUUGCUAAUGAUGAAAUUUUGAUCUUUUAUUCAUUCAUUCGUUUAAUCAGUUUGCAUGGUUAUUUUCUUCUAAAUUUGAAAUUCUUAAAUGAAAAUAUGCUAUAUAAAGAAUUUUAAAGACAAAAAAAUUAUUUAAUUUUUGAGUGGGGUUUAAUUCGAAAUUGUCCUAUUAUGUAAUUUUAAUAAAAGUUAAAAUUGAAAAAUAAUUAAAGGGGUGUUAAGAGGUAUUUGGAGAGGUGCCAAUAAUCCCAUUCACUGUUAAUUUAAGUAUUUAACAAUAACUUUUAACAAAAUGGGUGCAUUUUGAUUAAGGUUGAAAUUCUUGGAUUUAAUUUGAUAAAGGUCAUUUUAAUGGGCGCCAAUUGAAAUUAACUCUUAUUUUCUAAAGAACGGUAAUCUUGAAAACACAUGGGAUUAAUGGAAAGGCAAGGGUUGUUGAGAUAACUAAAAGUGGUGAAAUAUCAUUACUAAAAAUGAAUAUGGGUCAAGUGGACUAUGUAACAAAGAUAAAUUCAAAAAGCCUAAGACUAUCUACACUAAUUAUUAUUAGAGCAGUGAUAUUUAGACCCUUAUUCUAUUUCAAUAGUCUCCUUUUUAAAUUAUUUUAUUUAUUUCCCAAAUUACCCUUUUUUUCCUUUUUUUUUUCUCUUUUUAACUCAACAACUUAAUUGCAACUAGAUUUGGAAAUUGGCUCUUUCGGUAUUUGUGGCCUUUAAUCUUCUAGCAAUAAAUAUGGGUGAUGAAAAUAUUUUUGGGUUGUCUAGGUUCUUAGUUCAUCGUAAGAUACGAAAUGUUUGGUAUCUCGCAACCACGUCAUUCUCAUUUUCUAGGUAUAUCGGUUGGAAACCCGAGCAUGCGGACUACUGGUCUAAAGGAUAACUCUAUUAUCAUUGCUCUGGUAUAACAAUGCCACGCACCAAAAAUUCUUGAAUCUUUGUAAGAGAAGAGUUUACAUUAAUUUCUCAUGUUACAGGUGUGAUGAUAAGCCUGAAGAUAUUAAUCAUGCUUUGUUUCCAUUUUAGGUACUUGGCUUGUUAGAGUGUAGCAAGAUUUGGUAUGACUCCAUUUUUUAACAUCAUGAAGAUUGUUGCUCAUAUGAAUUACUCUUUACUCACGUCUCAUGUGGCUAUUGUUGGUUCUCUUGCAGAGAAUGAAUUUGAGAAUUAGCCAGGUAGUUUAAGACACUGGAUGGAGUUAAAAAAUCUAUUGUUAUGAUAGGUGUUCGAUAUGAGGACAAAAUAAAGAAAAGUGGAGGAUAAUGAGAGAGAAGAAGAGAGAAUGAAUGGUGCAUUUGAAAAUUCAAAUUAUCUUGAUGGGUAUUAUAGUUAUUUCAAAUUAAAAUGAGAAAGGUAAAGGCUGAUGGGAUAAACUGAAGGGAUUAAAUCACUAUUCUUAUUACCAAGCAACCAAAAAUAAGACAACCCUAGUGGGCAGCAACAAAAAAUGGAAUUGGCCUAUUCAAAGCAAAGUUCCAGCUCAUCUAUAUACUACUAACAUGUCAUGAUGAUGAUUUUCUUUUUGUUUGAGUGGUGCUACUAUCACACCUCCACUUACUCUUGUUUAUAAUUUUAUCCCUAACUAAAAUUAUUGCUCCACACCCACAUCCUCAGCCAAAUACAACAUAAACAAGGAUGGUAAAAUUCAGAUCUAGGUUCAAGUUUGGCCUUCCCAAUUCCGGACUUGGAUGACAAAUCAUCUUACCAGAUCCGGAUGUAAACACAAAUUUUUUCACUCAAAGUCCAAUCGGGGUUCAACAAAAAACAAUAUGAGUUUCUGGAUUGCGGGUAUUAAACUUGGUAAUUGGAUGAAGGCUGAAACAAUAGACUUCAUGGAUGUCACUUUUGGGCUCUUUUGGAAUUGCAGAACUAGAAAAAUAGUAGGACGAAUUCAGGGGAUCUCAACUAAAUUUGCUUAUUUCAAUAAAAAAAAGUUAACAAUUACAUCGAUAUUAUGUGUUAAAAUGCUGCAUUUGGCUAUUCACAACAACAAAAAAAUUAAUAAUUACCAAACUAAGUAAAAUCAAGAUAUUAAAAAAGAAAUACAUAAAAAGGAAAAAAAAACUUACUUUGAUUGUUCAUGUUGCAGCUAAGGUGGCGAUGGGUGUUUAAUUGCAGUGAGAAAUGUGACCGACGGGAAAAGGUUAGCGACUAGACGAGAUUGAAUUUGACGACGGCGGAGCUUGGUUUUGUUCGUUGUUCUUGAUGAUAAUGGAUGAUGGACUGCUGAUGAUUUAAAUUGAUGAUGUAUUGAUGGAAUAUUGAUUUGCCAUCCCUAAACACAACCGAAAGAGACAAAUCCAAACCCUCAAGAUUUCAAUGAUGGAAGAUUAUAUGAAAACAAUGGGUAUGGCGUAAUAGAAUAAGAACAGGAAACCAAUUGGGAGUGAGGCAAAUCAAAACAUAAUUCCUCUCAAAUGCAAGUAAAGCAAGUAGUGACUUAAGAAACUAGAAGACCAUUGAGAAUGCAGAGUCGAGGUAAACAUUAUAAAAUAUGACUUUCGUUGAUAUAAAUAAUCUUAAAUAUGAAAAACUAUUAAACGAUAACCUUUUUGUAUUUACUUAAUCCAAACUUUGAAAUAAGCUUCAUUCAAUCCAAUUAAAUUUCAUUUUUUU
rnacentral:lncRNA from 1 species